rnacentral:tRNA from 1 species
GGAUAUAGCCAAGCUGGUAAGGCAACGGGUUUUGAUCCCGUCAUUCGCAGGUUCGAGUCCUGCUAUC